UUCUGCCAAUGACAAGUUGCAGCUUUAUUGCCUACAUUGUUUGAAAGUCUAAUAAGAAGUGCAAUUUUGAGACAUAA
rfam:Zea mays cultivar B73 chromosome 1, whole genome shotgun sequence.